GUUUCUUUCGCUUUCAAAUAUUUAUCUUGCAUUCGUUUGAUAAAUACUUUUUACGCAGUAGAAAUAUUUUAUUCUCUCAACUGCCUCCUAAUAUCUGGUUAUUUAACGGCUCGAUUUUUCUGUUGAAGAAACAAAAUGAAAUAUUUGGCAUUGCUUUCAGUAUUGUCGAUUUUCCUCGUUUUUACAGCAAGUGAAGUGUGUGAAGAUGGAACAGACUGUAAAAAUGCAAUAUGCUGCAAGUCAUGGUUCCACUAUAGAUGCUGUAAUAUGGAGGAAUUAGGAGUCUGUUGCAGCGGAGGUUACCAAUGUUGCCCAGAAGGGUACGGCUGUCUGCGGCUUGGAAUAAAUAACUUUUGUGUCAAUGGAACAACCAUCGAAAGUCCAGCCGUAAAUUCUCCACAGACAAUUGAAAUCAUACCGGCUUCGUUUACAGAAAAGGAAGAAUAAUUGUCAAAUUAACACUUUUUUAAUUGCAGUAUCUAACAGAUGCGCAGUAAUAUACAGAAUAAUUCUUUAAAGUGAAAAUAUGGCAAAUAUGAUAAUGUAUAAAAUGCCAUGCGAUUUACAAAAUGAAAACUGAAUCUUUCUCAAAUGUAAGUUGCUAUUUUUUUCAUGAAGGCAACAGUUUGAAGAAACAGUUGAUCCUCGCCAAAUUGGCGAACAUUUCGCUGGCUUGGCAAUGAGAUCAUAUCGUAAUCUUGAAUCUAACCAACGUGAUUGUGAUUAACGGAGAACUAAUUAAAAAAGUUUUUCAAAAAUAUGUCGUGAGGUGAAAAUAUUUGAAUAAUUUUUAUUAUUUUCGAGCACUUUAAUAUUGUUAUGGAAAUUGUAGAAUUGGAAACAAGGACUGUAAACAACUUUGAUACAAAAUAAAUUAUUGUUAAAUGAUUAAUAUCUUUUAUUCCUAUUU